rnacentral:rRNA from 1 species
AUUGAACGCUGGCGGCAGGCCUAACACAUGCAAGUCGAGCGGAGCGGCGGACGGGUGAUUAAUUCCUAGGAAUCUGCCUGGUAUGGGGGGAUAACGUCCGGAAACGGGCUCUAAUCCGGCAUACUUUCAGAUUAUCCUGGGUCGGAUUAUCUAGUUGGUGGGGUAAAGGCCUACCAAGGCGACGAUCCGUGUCUGGUCUGAGAGGAUGAUCAGGCACACUGGAACGGAGACACGGUCCAGACUCCUACGGGAGUCAGCAGUGGGGAAUAUGGGACAAUGGGCGAAAGCCUGAUCCAGCCAUGCCGCGUGUGUGAAGAAGGUCUUCGGAUUGUAAAGAACUUGAAGUUGGGAGGCGUUAACAACAGAAUAAGCACCGGCUAACUUCGUUCCAGCAGCCGCGGUAAUAC